rnacentral:rRNA from 1 species
UACGAAGGGGGCUAGCGUUGCUCGGAAUUACUGGGCGUAAAGGGAGCGUAGGCGGACAGUUAAGUCAGUGGUGAAAGCCCAGGGCUCAACCCUGGAAUUGCCUUUGAUACUGAAGAUCUUGAGUCCGGAAGAGGAGAGUGGAAUUCCUGGUGUAGCGGUGAAAUGCGCAGAUAUCAGGAAGAACACCCGUGGCGAAGGCGGCUCUCUGGGACGGUACUGACGCUGAGACGCGAAAGCGUGGGGAGCGAACAGG